GGUGGCGCAGUGGUAGCGCUGCUGCCCCGGAGUAAGGAGACCUGGGUUCGCUUCCCAGGUCCUCCCUGUGUGGAGUUUGCAUGUUCUCCCCAUGUCUGCGUGGGUUUCCUCCGGAUGCUCUGGUUUCCUCCCAAAGACAUGCAGGUUAGGUGCAUUGGCGAUCCUAAAUUGUCCCUAGUGUUUGUGUGGGCUGGUGCCCUGCCCGGGAUUUGUUUCCUGCCUUGCACCCUGUGUUGGCUGGGAUUGGUUCCAGCAGACCCCUGUGACCCUGUAGUUAGGAUAUAGCGGGUUGGAUAAUGGAUGGA